rnacentral:rRNA from 1 species
AUUGAACGCUGGCGGAAUGCUUUACACAUGCAAGUCGAACGGUAGAGGGGGCAACCCCUUGAGAGUGGCGAACGGGUGAGUAAUAUAUCGGAACGUGCCCAGUCGUGGGGGAUAACGUAGUGAAAAUUACGCUAAUACCGCAUACGAUCUAAGGAUGAAAGCGGGGGAUCGCAAGACCUCGCGCGACUGGAGCGGCCGAUAUCAGAUUAGGUAGUUGGUAGGGUAAAGGCCUACCAAGCCAACGAUCUGUAGCUGGUCUGAGAGGACGACCAGCCACACUGGAACUGAGACACGGUCCAGACUCCUACGGGAGGCAGCAGUGGGGAAUUUUGGACAAUGGGCGAAAGCCUGAUCCAGCCAUUCCGCGUGCAGGAUGAAGGCCCUCGGGUUGUAAACUGCUUUUGUACAGAACGAAAAGGUCUCUAUUAAUACUAGGGGCUCAUGACGGUACUGUAAGAAUAAGCACCGGCUAACUACGUGCCAGCAGCCGCGGUAAUACGUAGGGUGCAAGCGUUAAUCGGAAUUACUGGGCGUAAAGCGUGCGCAGGCGGUUAUAUAAGUCAGAUGUGAAAUCCCCGGGCUCAACCUGGGAACUGCAUUUGAGACUGUAUAGCUAGAGUACGGUAGAGGGGGAUGGAAUUCCGCGUGUAGCAGUGAAAUGCGUAGAUAUGCGGAGGAACACCGAUGGCGAAGGCAAU